rnacentral:rRNA from 1 species
AACGCUAGCUACAGGCUUAACACAUGCAAGUCGCGGGGUAACGAGAGGGAAGCUUGCUUUCCUUGUCGACGACCGGCGCACGGGUGAGUAACGCGUAUCCAACCUGCCCAUUAUCACGGGAUACCCCGUCGAAAGGCGGCCUAAUACCGUAUGCAGUCGUCAGAUGACAUCAGAGGACGACGAAAGGAUUGGCGGUAAUGGAUGGGGAUGCGUCUGAUUAGGUAGUUGGAGGGGUAACGGCCCACCAAGCCAUCGAUCAGUAGGGGUUCUGAGAGGAAGGUCCCCCACACUGGAACUGAGACACGGUCCAGACUCCUACGGGAGGCAGCAGUGAGGAAUAUUGGUCAAUGGGCGUAAGCCUGAACCAGCCAAGUAGCGUGAGGGAAGACUGCCCUAUGGGUUGUAAACCUCUUUUGUGCGGGGAUAAAGUGUGGGACGUGUCCCAUAUUGCAGGUACCGCACGAAUAAGGACCGGCUAAUUCCGUGCCAGCAGCCGCGGUAAUACGGAAGGUCCGGGCGUUAUCCGGAUUUAUUGGGUUUAAAGGGAGCGUAGGCCGUCUGUUAAGCGUGUUGUGAAAUGUAGAUGCUCAACAUCUGAAUUGCAGCGCGAACUGGCAGACUUGAGUGUGCGCAACGUAGGCGGAAUUCGUGGUGUAGCGGUAAAAUGCUUAGAUAUCACGAAGAACUCCGAUUG